rnacentral:lncRNA from 1 species
GAGGUGCCUAGUGUAGAUGUUGUUGGUUGUUCAAAAGAUAAGUCUGGUGAAUCCAGUAAUUUGAAAGCCAAUAGUGAUGAUGAUAAGGUACUCCGACUGAUCAAGAGGAGUGAAUUCAACGUGUAGGAGCAGUUGCUCCAGACUCCCUCUAAGAUUUCCGUGUUGUCUCUGCUUUUGAACUCUGAAGCAUAUAGAGAAGC